rnacentral:rRNA from 1 species
AGAGCGAACGCUGGCGGCGUGCUUAACACAUGCAAGUCGAACGAGGUCUGUAGCAAUACAGAUACUCGUGGCGAACGGGUGCGUAACACGUGGAUAACCUUCCUUUAGGUGGGGAAUAACCCAGUGAAAAUUGGGCUAAUACCGCAUAACAUGACGAUGCCACAUGGUGUUGUCUUCAAAGGCGCAAGUCGCCAGAAGAGGGAUCCGCGGCCGAUUAGCUAGUUGGCGAGGUAAUGGCUCACCAAGGCAAUGAUCGGUAGCCGGACUGAGAGGUUGGCCGGCCACACUGGAACUGAGACACGGUCCAGACUCCUACGGGAGGCAGCAGUGGGGAAUCUUGCACAAUGGACGAAAGUCUGAUGCAGCAACGCCGCGUGGGGGAUGAAGCUUUUCGGAGUGUAACCCCUUUCGACCCGGAAGAAAGCCCGCAAGGGUUUGACGGUACGGGUAUAAGAAGCCCGGCUAACUACGUGCCAGCAGCCGCGGU